UACGUAGGGGGCAAGCGUUGUCCGGAAUCAUUGGGCGUAAAGCGCGCGUAGGCGGCCCGGUAAGUCCGUUGUGAAAGUCAAAGGCUCAACCUUUGAACGCCGAUGGAUACUGCCGGGCUAGAGUCCGGAAGAGGCGAGUGGAAUUCCUGGUGUAGCGGUGGAAUGCGCAGAUAUCAGGAGGAACACCAAUAGCGAAGGCAGCUCGCUGGGACGGUACUGACGCUGAGGCGCGAAAGCGUGGGGAGCAAAAGGG
rnacentral:rRNA from 1 species